UACGAAGGGGGCUAGCGUUGCUCGGAAUCACUGGGCGUAAAGCGCACGUAGGUGGGUCGUUAAGUCGGGGGUGAAAUCCCAGAGCUCAACUCUGGAACUGCCUUCGAUACUGGCGACCUUCGAGUUCGGGAGAGGUGAGUGGAACUGCGAGUGUAGAGGUGAAAUUCGUAGAUAUUCGCAAGAACACCAGUGGCGAAGGCGGCUCACUGGCCCGAUACUGACACUGAGGUGCGAAAGCGUGGGGAGCAAACAGG
rnacentral:rRNA from 2 species